rnacentral:lncRNA from 1 species
CAUGGAGUUCAAGUUUUCACAAUCGCUUUUAACAGAAUAAUACAAGAUGACAGUAUAGCUGACUUGCAAUUAUAAUACAAUUUCAAUUACAAUGAGCAUACUUUCUAGAUUUUCUUUCCCAAAUGGAGAGCCCAAAAAGAAGUAACAAAAGACUCAUUCAUCAAGUGAAGAAGAAAAUCCUUUAUUUUUUGAUGAGCAAAAAUAAGAAUAAAUUGCUGUUCACACUGGAUAAGACCAUAUCAAAAGUGACAGUAAACAUGUACACUGUUGGUGUUAUAUGGGGAUGGGGUUCUCGGU